rnacentral:rRNA from 1 species
UACGGAGGAUGCAAGCGUUAUCCGGAAUGAUUGGGCGUAAAGCGUCCGCAGGUGGCUAUGUAAGUCUGCUGUUAAAGAGUGAGGCUCAACCUCAUAAGAGCAGUGGAAACUACAUAGCUAGAGUGCGUUCGGGGCAGAGGGAAUUCCUAGUGUAGCGGUGAAAUGCGUAGAUAUCAGGAAGAACACCGGUGGCGAAAGCGCUCUGCUAGGCCGCAACUGACACUGAGGGACGAAAGCUAGGGGAGCGAAUGGG